rnacentral:rRNA from 1 species
UAGAACGCUGGCGGCAUGCCUUACACAUGCAAGUCGAACGGCAGCGGGGGUAGCUUGCUACCUGCCGGCGAGUGGCGAACGGGUGAGUAAUACAUCGGAACGUGCCCUGUAGUGGGGGAUAACUAGUCGAAAGACUGGCUAAUACCGCAUACGACCUGAGGGUGAAAGUGGGGGACCGCAAGGCCUCAUGCUAUAGGAGCGGCCGAUGUCUGAUUAGCUAGUUGGUGGGGUAAAGGCCUACCAAGGCGACGAUCAGUAGCUGGUCUGAGAGGACGAUCAGCCACACUGGGACUGAGACACGGCCCAGACUCCUACGGGAGGCAGCAGUGGGGAAUUUUGGACAAUGGGGGCAACCCUGAUCCAGCAAUGCCGCGUGUGUGAAGAAGGCCUUCGGGUUGUAAAGCACUUUUGUCCGGAAAGAAAUCGCUUCGGUUAAUACCUGGAGUGGAUGACGGUACCGGAAGAAUAAGGACCGGCUAACUACGUGCCAGCAGCCGCGGUAAUACGUAGGGUCCAAGCGUUAAUCGGAAUUACUGGGCGUAAAGCGUGCGCAGGCGGUUGUGCAAGACCGAUGUGAAAUCCCCGGGCUUAACCUGGGAAUUGCAUUGGUGACUGCACGGCUAGAGUGUG